AUUGAACGCUGGCGGAAUGCUUUACACAUGCAAGUCGAACGGUAGAGGGGGCAACCCCUCGAGAGUGGCGAACGGGUGAGUAAUAUAUCGGAACGUGCCCAGUCGUGGGGGAUAACGUAGCGAAAGUUACGCUAAUACCGCAUACGAUCUACGGAUGAAAGCGGGGGAUCGCAAGACCUCGCGCGAUUGGAGCGGCCGAUAUCGGAUUAGCUAGUUGGUGAGGUAAAGGCUCACCAAGCCGACGAUCUGUAGCUGGUCUGAGAGGACGACCAGCCACACUGGGACUGAGACACGGCCCAGACUCCUACGGGAGGCAGCAGUGGGGAAUAUUGCACAAUGGCGCAAGCCUGAUGCAGCAACGCCGCGUGAGGGAUGAAGGCCUUCGGUGUAACUCUUUAUCUAGGAAGAAGCGAAAGUGACGGUACC
rnacentral:rRNA from 1 species